UGGCUCAGUUGGUAGAGCAUGGUGUUUGCAACGCCAGGGUUGUGGGUUUGAUUCUCAC
rfam:Salmo salar isolate Sally breed double haploid chromosome ssa10, whole genome shotgun sequence.